rnacentral:tRNA from 1 species
GGGCCGGUAGUUUAGUGGCUAUAACGUCGCCCUUACAAGGCGAAGGUCGCAGGUUCAAGUCCUGCCCGGCCCA